UACGGGGGGUGCAAGCGUUGUUCGGAAUUAUUGGGCGUAAAGAGCGUGUAGGCGGCUUGAUAAGUCAGAUGUGAAAGCCCUGGGCUUAACCCAGGAAGUGCAUUUGAAACUGUCUCGCUAGAGUAAGGGAGGGGGAAGUGGAAUUCCUGGUGUAGAGGUGGAAUUCGUAGAUAUCAGGAGGAACACCGGUGGCGAAGGCGACUUCCUGGCCCUAUACUGACGCUGAGACGCGAGAGCGUGGGUAGCAAACAGG
rnacentral:rRNA from 1 species